AUUUCAGGAACAACUGUUACAGCCCACUGUUUAGAACACAGAACAUCCAUGUUCCAUGCUGUUGGUCUGGUGGUCAGGGCUCCGGUAAGAGAUGGUCCAGGUAGAACAUGUUCCAUGCUGUUGGUCUGGUGGUCAGGGCUCCGGUAAGAGAUGGUCCAGGUAGAACAUGUUCCAUGCUGUUGGUCUGGUGGUCAGGGCUCCGGUAAGAGAUGGUCUAGGUAGAACAUGUUCCAUGCUGUUGGUCUGGUGGUCAGGGCUCUGGUAAGAGAUGGUCUAGGUAGAACAUGUUCCAUGCUGUUGGUCUGGUGGUCAGGGCUCCGGUAAGAGAUGGUCUAGGUAGAACAUGUUCCAU
rnacentral:lncRNA from 1 species